UACGUAGGGGCAAGCGUUGUCCGGAAUUACUGGGCGUAAAGCGCGUGUAGGCGGGACGGUUAGUCGGACGUGAAAUCCCAGGCCUCAACCUGGGAACUGCGUCUGAUACUGGAUGGCUUGAAUCCGGGAGAGGGAUGCAGAAUUCCAGGUGUAGCGGUGAAAUGCGUAGAUAUCUGGAGGAAUACCGGUGGCGAAGGCGGCCUUCUGGACAGUGACGUGACGCUGAGACGCGAAAGCGUGGGGAGCAACAGGG
rnacentral:rRNA from 1 species